rnacentral:tRNA from 1 species
GCCUUCGUAGUGUAGUGGUCAGCAUGCUCGACGCGAAAUCGAGAGGUCUGUGGUUCGAGUCCCGCCGAAGGCG